rnacentral:lncRNA from 1 species
UUUGCCAUGGACAUUUGCAUAAACUGGUUCAUAGUAUCCUCCAUCUUUGAGUUUCUAUCUUAUGACUGAGGAUUAUGAUUAUAAUUCUGAUAUGGAUUUUGUCUAUUGGAAGGUCCUGAUUCUUGUCUUCAAGCUUGGCCAUAUUGUGCAUUGUUCCCUCUUUAUUAAUAACCAUCAUUAUUUUGAUAUAGAGCUUGCCUCUAUUCAUAUUGAUUUUGAUUUCCCAUAUAAUUCAUCUCUUCAUUUUAUGGAGGAUAAUAACCUGUU